AUACGGAGGAUCCGAGCGUUAUCCGGAUUUAUUGGGUUUAAAGGGUGCGCAGGCGGCCAUUUAAGUCAGCGGUUAAAUCGUGGGGCUCAACCCCAUUCUGCCGUUGAUACUGGGUGGCUUGAUUGCGGUCGAGGUUGGCGGAAUUCGUUGUGUAGCGGGGAAAUGCAUAGAUAUGACGAAGAACACCGAUUGCGUAGGCAGCUGACCAGACCGCAAAUGACGCUCAUGCACGAAAGUGCGGGGAUCGAACAGGAUUAGAUACCCUGGUAGUCCGCACAGUAAACGAUGAAUACUUGUUUUCGGCGAUAUAAUGUCGGAGGCAAAGCGAAAGCGAUAAGUAUUCCACCUGGGGAGUACGCCGGCAACGGUGAAACUUAAAGGAAUUGGCGGGG
rnacentral:rRNA from 1 species